rfam:Triticum aestivum genome assembly, contig: Triticum_aestivum_CS42_TGACv1_scaffold_556285_7AL
CUAGUACUCCCUCCGUUUCAAAUUACUCGUCGCAGAAAUGGAUGUAUCUAGAACUAAAAUACAUAUAGAUACAUUCAUACAUUCGACAAGUAAUUUGAAACGAAGGAAGUAUAUC